AUUGAACGCUGGCGGCAGGCCUAACACAUGCAAGUCGAGCGAGCGGCGGACGGGUGAGUAAUGUCUGGGAAACUGCCUGAUGGAGGGGGAUAACUACUGGAAACGGUAGCUAAUACCGCAUACCAUCAGAUGUGCCCAGGUUGGAUUAGCUAGUAGGGGGGGUAACGGCUCACCUAGGCGACGAUCCCUAGCUGGUCUGAGAGGAUGACCAGCCACACUGGAAAUGAGACACGGUCCAGACUCCUACGGGAGGGAGCAGUGGGGAAUAUUGCACAAUGGGGGCAAGCCUGAUGCAGCCAUGCCGGGUGUGUGAAGAAGGCCUUCGGGUUGUAAAGCAAUUUCAGCGGGGAGGCGUUACCCGCAGAAGAAGCACCGGCUAACUCCGUGCCAGCAGCCGCGGUAAUAC
rnacentral:rRNA from 1 species